GCUGGCGGCAGGCCUAACACAUGCAAGUCGAACGGUAACAGGAAGCAGCUUGCUGCUUUGCUGACGAGUGGCGGACGGGUGAGUAAUGUCUGGGAAACUGCCUGAUGGAGGGGGAUAACUACUGGAAACGGUGGCUAAUACCGCAUAACGUCGCAAGACCAAAGAGGGGGACCUUCGGGCCUCUUGCCAUCAGAUGUGCCCAGAUGGGAUUAGCUUGUUGGUGAGGUAACGGCUCACCAAGGCGACGAUCCCUAGCUGGUCUGAGAGGAUGACCAGCCACACUGGAACUGAGACACGGUCCAGACUCCUACGGGAGGCAGCAGUGGGGAAUAUUGCACAAUGGGCGCAAGCCUGAUGCAGCCAUGCCGCGUGUAUGAAGAAGGCCUUCGGGUUGUAAAGUACUUUCAGCGGGGAGGAAGGUGUUGUGGUUAAUAACCGCAGCAAUUGACGUUACCCGCAGAAGAAGCACCGGCUAACUCCGUGCCAGCAGCCGCGGUAAUACGGAGGGUGCAAGCGUUAAUCGGAAUUACUGGGCGUAAAGCGCACGCAGGCGGUCUGUCAAGUCGGAUGUGAAAUCCCCGGGCUCAACCUGGGAACUGCAUUCGAAACUGGCAGGCUUGAGUCUUGUAGAGGGGGGUAGAAUUCCAGGUGUAGCGGUGAAAUGCGUAGAGAUCUGGAGGAAUACCGGUGGCGAAGGCGGCCCCCUGGACAAAGACUGACGCUCAGGUGCGAAAGCGUGGGGAGCAAACAGGAUUAGAUACCCUGGUAGUCCACGCCGUAAACGAUGUCUACUUGGAGGUUGUGCCCUUGAGGCGUGGCUUCCGGAGCUAACGCGUUAAGUAGACCGCCUGGGGAGUACGGCCGCAAGGUUAAAACUCAAAUGAAUUGACGGGGGCCCGCACAAGCGGUGGAGCAUGUGGUUUAAUUCGAUGCAACGCGAAGAACCUUACCUGGUCUUGACAUCCACAGAAGAAUCCAGAGAUGGAUUUGUGCCUUCGGGAACUGUGAGACAGGUGCUGCAUGGCUGUCGUCAGCUCGUGUUGUGAAAUGUUGGGUUAAGUCCCGCAACGAGCGCAACCCUUAUCCUUUGUUGCCAGCGGUUAGGCCGGGAACUCAAAGGAGACUGCCAGUGAUAAACUGGAGGAAGGUGGGGAUGACGUCAAGUCAUCAUGGCCCUUACGACCAGGGCUACACACGUGCUACAAUGGCGCAUACAAAGAGAAGCGACCUCGCGAGAGCAAGCGGACCUCAUAAAGUGCGUCGUAGUCCGGAUUGGAGUCUGCAACUCGACUCCAUGAAGUCGGAAUCGCUAGUAAUCGUGGAUCAGAAUGCCACGGUGAAUACGUUCCCGGGCCUUGUACACACCGCCCGUCACACCAUGGGAGUGGGUUGCAAAAGAAGUAGGUAGCUUAACCUUCGGGAGGGCGCUUACCACUUUGUGAUUCAUGACUGGGGUGAAGUCGUAACAAGGUAACCGUAGGGGAACCUGCGGUUGGAUCACCUCCUUACCUUAAAGAAGC
rnacentral:rRNA from 1 species